UUGGUUCAGUUCUCAGGCUGUGGUGACUCAGGAGCCCUCACUGACUGUGUCCUAAAGAGAGAGACUUAUUCUCAUGUGUGGCUUCAGCACCACAGCACUGAAUUCAGCAGAAGCCUGGUCAAGUCCUCAGGACAUUGAUGUGUAACACAGAUAACAAACACCCCUGGAUGCCCACUUGAUUCUCUGGCUCCCUCCUGGGGGAAAGCUGCCCUGACCCCUCAAGGGGCCCAGCCUGAGGAUGAGGCUGAGU
rnacentral:lncRNA from 1 species